UGUCAUACUCCCUUGCUAAAUCACUACUAAGCUCUUGUAAGAGCUUGUUCUUGCUUCGCUCUGAAGGAAGAGAAGUUCGGCCUGCGGUGGUUGUGGUGUCUGCUAGAGUGCUUCGAACCCUCAGGAAGCGCUAGGAGCAUCCUUCAAUGGAGGUACCCAGUCGGGGUGCCGGGUGAUCCGUUACAGACUGGACCUACCUCAUUGCCACACUACAGCACAUGGGAUUCGGACCAGGAUAUCCGCCCUCUACACAACGUCAUCGGCACAAAUCCGAGUCAGUGGCGCUCUCUCUGACUCGUUCCCGAUGCGGAAUGGCACGAGGUAGGGGUGCCCCCUCUCACUAAUACC